UACGGAGGGUGCGAGCGUUGUCCGGAAUCACUGGGCGUAAAGGGUGCGUAGGCGGGUCUUUUAAGUCAGGGGUGAAAUCCUGGAGCUCAACUCCAGAACUGCCUUUGAUACUGAAGAUCUUGAGUUCGGGAGAGGUGAGUGGAACUGCGAGUGUAGAGGUGAAAUUCGUAGAUAUUCGCAAGAACACCAGUGGCGAAGGCGGCUCACUGGCCCGAUACUGACGCUGAGGCACGAAAGCGUGGGGAGCAAACAGGG
rnacentral:rRNA from 1 species